rnacentral:Y_RNA from 1 species
GGCUGGUCUGAUGGUAGUAGGUUAUCAGAAUUUACUAACAUUAGUGUCAUUAAAGUUGGUAUACAGCUCCCCACUGCUGAAUUUGACUGGCUUAUA